CCCCUAAGGCUAGGAAGCUUACAUUCUCUUAAGGUGACUCACUUCCUGUUUGGGCUGAGGAAUGUGGCGCCUGGGUACUCCGAGCCGGCUCCUUGGAAACGGCUGGACCCGCCCACCAGAGCCUUAAAGCAACAGUGCUCCCACGACGGGCUUGUCCUAGUGGUCCUGAGGAACGGUCCCAGAAUUCCUGAAGGCAGAGGUCGGCUGCCAAGUCCCACAGUCCACAUGCUCCCUCUUCCUCACUCGACUUUAAGUUCCCUGGAGGAACGACAACUCCACUGCUUUUAGCCAGCGUGCAAGUGGUUCCCAGGACCAUUUCAGAGAAAGGGAUUGUGUGGUGAGACCUUACUAACCUGGCCUAAUCCUCCCUGGGCCUGUCAUGUUUUUGUCGAAAACUGGGAACAGUACUCUGGGCUUCUAAAGAAUCCAUGAGACCAUCUAUCAGUGUCCGAGGCAGGGCCCGGACUCUCUGCAAGGGAACAGCGGGCCGAACCUGCAGAUCCACAAUGACUGCUGAUGACCCUAGAGGCCUCCACAGAAAAACCCACCAGUGGAACAGAGCAGCGGACACAGGACUGCAGCAGCUGUGUCAUUCCUUGUGCCUCCUUUUCUUCAUGGCAAAGCGAUCCUCUCAGAAGAGAAACCAGACCUCCAAGGACACGUUGAAGGGCAGGAGUGGGACAUCAGGCAUCAGAAGGGCUGAGCUCCCUUCAGAGACCACAGGGGAGGACCCCUCUUUGCAUCUUCCAGCUGCUGGUGGCUCCUGGUGUCUUGCAUCUGCUGGGAGUGGUUGUGUGUGUCCUGAAGCAGCAUGGAUGAGCCUGGAGGACAGUGUGUUGAGAGAGAUAAGCCAGGAACAGAGAGAGAAGCACCACAAAAGCUGACCUCACAGAAGCCUGGAGCAGCACAGUGAUUACCAGAACCCAGGGGCAGUGAUGUUGGGGUGGGAGAGAAUGGUCAGCGGGUACAGAAUCACAGUUAGAUUGGAGAAACACAUUCCGAUGUUCUAUUGCACAACAUGGUGGCCACAGUUAACAAUAUUGUAUUGUAGACAUGAAAGUAAUUAGCAGAGAUGAUUUUGUUUAAAAAUUUU
rnacentral:lncRNA from 1 species